rnacentral:rRNA from 1 species
AUUGAACGCUGGCGGCAGGCCUAACACAUGCAAGUCGAGCGGAUGACGGGAGCUUGCUCCUUGAUUCAGCGGCGGACGGGUGAGUAAUGCCUAGGAAUCUGCCUGGUAGUGGGGGACAACGUUUCGAAAGGAACGCUAAUACCGCAUACGUCCUACGGGAGAAAGCAGGGGACCUUCGGGCCUUGCGCUAUCAGAUGAGCCUAUGUCGGAUUAGCUAGUUGGUGGGGUAAUGGCUCACCAAGGCGACGAUCCGGAACUGGUCUGAGAGGAUGAGCAGUCGCACGGGAACUGAAACACGAGCCAGCAUCCUACGGGAGGCAGCAGGGGGGAAUAUUGGACAAUGGGCGAAAGCCUGAUCCAGCCAUGCCGCGUGUGUUAAGAAGGUCUUCGGAUUGUAAAGCACUUUAAGUUGGGAGGAAGGGCAGUAAGCUAAUACCUUGCUGUUUUGACGUUACCGACAGAAUAAGCACCGGCUAACUCUGUGCCAGCAGCCGCCGUAA